UACGUAGGUGGCAAGCGUUGUCCGGAAUCACUGGGCGUAAAGGGCGCGUAGGUGGCUCGUGAAGCGUGCGGUGAAAGUCCGAGGCUCAACCUCGGAUCGGCCGUGCGGACUCGCGGGCUCGAGCGUUGUAGAGGCGGGUGGAAUUCCGGGUGUAGCGGUGGAAUGCGUAGAUAUCAGGAGGAACACCUGUGGUGUAGACAGCUUACUGGACCAUUUCUGACGCUGAGACACGAAAGCGUGGGUAGCAAACAGG
rnacentral:rRNA from 1 species